rnacentral:rRNA from 1 species
CAAAGAUUAAGCCAUGCAUGUCUAAGUACUAGCAUUAAUACUGUGAAACUGCGAAUGGCUCAUUAAAUCAGUUAUGAUCUACUUGGCAUUCUAACUGCUUUGCUGCUGGAUAACCGCGGUAAUUCUGGAGCUAAUACAUGUGUAUAUAACGGUCGACGCCGUUGCGUAUAUUAGAUAAAAACCAACCUGGGGUAAAACCUGGUCUUUGGUCGCUCAUAGUAUCCUUGCCGGUCUUCAGUUUAAUCUGGAGCCAGUUCAUUCGAUUUUCUGCCCUAUCAUUGCUUUUGAUUGCACGAUCGAGGCGUGCAAUGGCUUCUACGGGUAACGGGGAAUAAGGGUUCGAUUCCGGAGAGGGAGCCUGAGAAACGGCUACCACAUCCAAGGAAGGCAGCAGGCGCGCAAAUUACCCAAUCCCGACACGGGGAGGUAGUGACAAUAAAUAACAAUGCAGGGCUUUAUAGUCUUGCAAUUGGAAUGAGUACAAUUUAAAUCCUUUAACGAGGAUCAAUUGGAGGGCAAGUCUGGUGCCAGCAGCCGCGGUAAUUCCAGCUCCAAUAGCGUAUACUAAAGUUGUUGCAGUUAAAACGCCCGCAGUCGAAUUUUAGUCUGUAGGUGGCCAUAUCAGCAUUCAUUUGUUGAUGUUGGUUUAUCUGGGACUUUUAACUGGAUCUCUCUUGACUUCGGUCUUGGGGUCGAACCAGUUGAUUACCAUGAGCAAAUCAGAGUGUUUAAAGCAGGCUUUUUAGCUUGAAUGUGUUAGCAUGGAAUAAUGAAAUAUGAUCUUUGGUCUAUUUUCGUUGGUUCAAGACCAAAAUAAUGAUGAAUAGGAGUGGUCGGGGGCAUUUGUAUUUGGGCGCUAGAGGUGAAAUUCUUGGAUUGCCCAAAGACAAACUACUGCGAAAGCAUUUGCCAAGGACGCUUCCGUUGAUCAGGGGCUAAGGUUAGGGGAUCGAAGACGAUUAGAUACCGUCGUAGUCUUAACAGCAAACUAUGCCGACUAGGGAUUGGACUUGGCUCUUAUGGCUUGUCCAGCACCUUAGCGAAAGCAAAGUUUUUGGGUUCUGGGGGGAGUACGGGACGCAAGGCUGAAACUUAAAGGAAUUGACGGAAGGGCACCACCAGGAGUGGAGCCUGCGGCUU